UCGGGAGGGCGACGAAUACAAUACCCGCAAGGGGAAUAAGUCCGCGGUCUGUUACAGCCGUUUCGAACCUCCUGACACCCUA
rnacentral:ncRNA from 1 species